GACGAACGCUGGCGGCGUGCCUAAUACAUGCAAGUUGAGCGCUGAAGGUUGGUACUUGUACCAACUGGAUGAGCAGCGAACGGGUGAGUAACGCGUGGGGAAUCUGCCUUUGAGCGGGGGACAACAUUUGGAAACGGAUGCUAAUACCGCAUAAAAACUUUAAACACAAGUUUUAAGUUUGAAAGAUGCAAUUGCAUCACUCAAAGAUGAUCCCGCGUUGUAUUAGCUAGUUGGUGAGGUAAAGGCUCACCAAGGCGAUGAUACAUAGCCGACCUGAGAGGGUGAUCGGCCACGUUGGGACUGAGACACGGCCCAAACUCCUACGGGAGGCAGCAGUAGGGAAUCUUCGGCAAGGGACGAAAGUCUGACCGAGCAACGCCGCGUGAGUGAAGAAGGUUGUCGGAUCGUAAAACUCUGUUGGUAGAGAAGAACGUUGGUGAGAGUGGAAAGCUCAUCAAGUGACGGUAACUACCCAGAAAGGGACGGCUAACUACGUG
rnacentral:rRNA from 1 species